UACGGAGGGUGCUAGCGUUGUUCGGAAUUACUGGGCGUAAAGCGCGCGUAGGCGGCUUUGUAAGUUAGAGGUGAAAGCCCGGAGCUCAACUCCGGAACUGCCUUUAAAACUGCCUCGCUUGAAUCCAGGAGAGGUGAGUGGAAUUCCGAGUGUAGAGGUGAAAUUCGUAGAUAUUCGGAAGAACACCAGUGGCGAAGGCGGCUCACUGGACGGGUAUUGACGCUGAGGUGCGAAAGCGUGGGGAGCAAACAGG
rnacentral:rRNA from 1 species